AGUUGGAGAGGACAGGAGAGGAGGGCGUGGCUUCUGGCGUUUGGCGGGUCUUUGUCUCUCGCUGGCGCUGGCACAGGAACUUGGGAUCCGUCUCCUCUUUCGCCUCCUCCGCUUUGGGAGCCCCGGGCUACUCUUUCACAGCCCCUGUUGCCCUGUGAUCUGUAGGUCCUUGGGGACGCACAGUUAAGAUGACAGGACAUCCUGGAAGCUGGGAAAUGGCUGAAUGCUAUCCCAGUGAAUAUACGUGCCCUGUUUGUUGAAUCUACUCAUCCUUAAAGAUAUGUAUUCAUUUCCUACCACCGUAGUGGAAGAGAUACUAUCCCUAUCUUUACAACUGAUAGCAUUUCCAACAGUAAGCUGUGAGAUUCUGCUUGAAAUCACCUCUCAAACAAAUAAAAAACAGACCUGGGAGACAUGCUACGCUCAUUCUGCUGAAGAAAUAGGCAUCAUAGCUGGGAAACGGAUUCACAAGACCCAGGCUGUUCCCUACAUAUGUUUCCUCCUCCGACAUCAGUUCAUCAGUCAAUCAAGCCAUGUGAGAGUGGAGGCCUUGUAUUCCCUAUUAUUCUUGGGCACUCUACUCCAAGUAGGAAAAGGCCAGGAGGUCCUGUUAAAGGAUGCACUCAGAGCCCGGGCUCCCUAACAUAUGAGAGUGCUAACCAGCAGGUGUAGACUUUUCAGGAGUGAAGAAUGAGGCAGGCAUUCCAAACCUGGACCUUCAUCACCUUUUGUUUCAUCUCAAGACAAUUCUGAGGGACUGUUUUGGAGCGUGUCUGGAAGGUGAACCUUGAAGAAGAGUGUGGGUUUUGAUGUGACUCAGUUGAGAUCUUUCAUGGGGAGGCAGGAAUUCAAUGCCCAGAAUCUGGGCUGGUGUCUUUGAGGUCAGUAGGUUGCGUCUUUGUAUCCAAGUCCAUUGUUACUAGGUUGGAGGCUGGAGAUUCUAAAUGGCUUCCAGACCAUCUCUCUGAUUCUCUUUGGGAGAUGGGGUCUGAAAGACAAUGUCAGUAGUUUUGGGAAAUUCUAGAAAGUGUGCUUGGAAACGUGGGAAGAGCUCUUGCCUAGUGCCUAAAUGCUCCAUUUGCAGCUCUAGCCAAGUAGAUACUUGGUAGGUAUAGAGCCGGGUUUGCGUUUAUAUUAGCAAAACCUAUGUCAGAGUUGAAGAAGUAGUCAGGAAAAAGCGUCUUGGUCGCAGGCCGGGGAACAUCUUAAAAGCAAACUUCUAGCCUGCUGACUCUUGGCAAUGAGUGUUGGAUCCUGGCUAAAGUGCCUUGAAUGCAGCAUGAGGCCAAUCCAUGAAUCCAACUUCUCAUGGAGAAAUGUUAAUAUUUUUUCAGUUUGAAUCAAUCAGGGUGAAACUACCAUGCUAUUGGUUUGCUUACUUUUUAUUAUUUCAUGUAAAAUCUAAGACAAAAUACAUUAAAUGCUUAUUGACAUAUGUAUUUAUUCUUCACCAGGCUGAUAAUAUCUGCCUAAUUUUAAACUUUCUUCCAUUUUGUAGGUUUCAACUUAUUCUAUUGUAAGAUACUGUUAAAUCUAAUAGAGGCAUUGUCACUUUUACGUAUAAUUUUAUUUUAUUUCAUAUAUUUCCUAUUGGUUUUUUACAUUUAAAUUAUGGAGCACUUCAUCAUAUAAAAAACUUCAAUUAUAUUUAAACAGUAAGUCUUUGGAUUUUUUUGCCUUUUAAUUUCCAUAUUACAUAAUAAUGAGAUAAACAUUAAUGUUUUCAGGGUACUUUAAAUUUUAGAUAAUUACUCAUUGUAUUCAUGUGAAAUUUGUUUUUACUGCAUGUGUGGGUUGGAGGACGGUUUUCACUUCUGAUUCAUCUUUACUCUUAUCUCAUCAGAGCUCAUACCUCUUGUAGUUGGGGGAUUGCAGUUUAUAAUUCCAAUAAAUGGGGCAAAUUCAAUAAUAACAUAAUACAAAUGAGUUUGAAUGCAGGACAGGUCUUCAAAGCAUACACAACAUGGGCCUACAUAUGUACAACAAUAAUAAUUUAUAAGUUACUGUUUGGAUGGAAAGUAAAAGUACAGAAAAUUUGUUAAAGGAAAUUAAAAUGGAGAUCAUGUCUCAAUAAUCUCUGAGCAGACAAAAUUAGUUAGGUCUCAUAAGUGAUCUCAACCUCGCUUGAUUUGCAAAUACAAACAAAACUUACAUUAUUUCUUGUAGCUGCAUAUUGAAAAAAGAGAAAUGAAGCUCAACCAGUCAGAAGUAGCCAACAACCUUAUAUAAAUAGAAACUGUCCAACAAGGUAAACAGACAAACAAAAAACAAUAAAAAAAGUUGUGCUACCACCAAAUGAUUUCUUUGUUUCUACAUUUUUCAAAUAAAUACUUGCUUCUUACACUGUCAAUGAAGCACUCAAUAUCUUUCCGUCUGAUAUUUUAUAAUUUAUCAAUUGCUCUUACUCAAAUAAACACUUUGCAAUUUCA
rnacentral:lncRNA from 1 species